AUUGAACGCUGGCGGCAGGCCUAACACAUGCAAGUCGAGCGAGCGGCGGACGGGUGAGUAAUGUCUGGGAAACUGCCUGAUGGGGGGGGAUAACUACUGGGAACGGUAGCUAAUACCGCAUACCAUCAGCUGUGCCCAGAUGGGAUUAGGUAGUAGGUGGGGUAACGGCUCACCUGGGCGACGAUCCCUAGCUGGUCUGAGAGGUGGACCAGCCACACGGGACCUGAGAAACGGUCAAGAAUCCUACGGGAGGCAGCAUUGGGGAAUAUUGGACAAUGGGCGCAAGCCGGAUGCAGCAAUGCCGCGUGGAUGAAGAAGGCUUCCGGGUGUUAAAGUACGUUAAGCGGGGAGGCGUUACCCGCAGAAGAAGCACCGGCUAACUCCGUGCCAGCAGCCGCGGUAAUUC
rnacentral:rRNA from 1 species